UACAGAGGUCUCAAGCGUUGGUCGGAUUCAUUGGGCGUAAAGGGUGCGUAGGCGGCGCGGUAAGUCGGGUGUGAAAUCUCGGAGCUUAACUCCGAAACUGCAUUCGAUACUGCCGUGCUUGAGGACUGGAGAGGAGACUGGAAUUUACGGUGUAGCGGUGAAAUGCGUAGAUAUCGUAAGGAAGACCAGUGGCGAAGGCGGGUCUCUGGACAGUUCCUGACGCUGAGGCACGAAGGUCAGGGGAGCAAACGGG
rnacentral:rRNA from 1 species